rnacentral:rRNA from 1 species
GGUUGGCUUAGAAGCAGCCAUCCUUUAAAGAAAGCGUAAUAGCUCACUAGUCGAGUCGGCCUGCGCGGAAGAUGUAACGGGGCUCAAACUGGUUACCGAAGCUGCGGCUGUGCACGCAAGUGCACGGGGUAGGGGAGCGUUCUGUAAGCCGUUGAAGGUGUGUCGAGAGGCAUGCUGGAGGUAUCAGAAGUGCGAAUGCUGACAUGAGUAACGAUAAAGGGGGUGAAAAACCUCCUCGCCGGAAGACCAAGGGUUCCUGUCCAACGUUAAUCGGGGCAGGGUAAGUCGACCCCUAAGGCGAGGCCGAAAGGCGUAGUCGAUGGGAAACGGGUUAAUAUUCCCG